CAGAGUGUAGCUAAACAGUAUAGCAUCUCCCUUACACUGAGAAAGUAUCCGUGCAAAACGGAUCACCCUGA
rnacentral:tRNA from 1 species